UACGUAGGUGGCAAGCGUUGUCCGGAUUUACUGGGCGUAAAGAGCGCGCAGGCGGUCGGAUAAGUCGAAUGUGAAAGCCCCCGGCUCAACUGGGGAGGGUCAUUCGAUACUGUUCGACUCGAAGGCAGGAGAGGGAAGUGGAAUUCCCGGUGUAGUGGUGAAAUGCGUAGAUAUCGGGAGGAACACCAGUGGCGAAGGCGACUUCCUGGCCUGUUCUUGACGCUGAGGCGCGAAAGCUAGGGGAGCAAACAGGG
rnacentral:rRNA from 1 species